GAACUUUCUAGAGGCCGCCAUGUUGGAAGGCUGUUGUUUGCCAUUGGGCACCUGAAGAGUGACACAGCUGGUUUUCUUUUCCUCCUGGUUGCUGCACCUUGAGACUGUGGUGCUAUGAUUGGAUCAGUUCAUCCUCAAGUGGAGAAUAACUGGAAGUGUGCCAAUGUGUCCCAGUGUUACCUGGGAUCUGACAGCCCCUGAAGCCAUUGUACAUCCAACUGGCUUCGACAGAAGCUCCCAGUCAAGACUGAAACUUUGAUGCUUCUUGUGCACAGCUUCCUGGCUCCCCCAGAUGUGUUUCCCAUCAGUCCCAGUGCCGAGCCCAGAGCCUGGUUUUCUGCAGGCACUCAGAGCAUGGCUGUUGACUGAAUAUAUUUGUAUGUGUUAAUUCCCCUUGAGCUAAACACAAGUCGUUCCGUUGAUGGCAACUAGCUUCAGACACAGUUGGAGUCCCCAGAGGGUUGGCCAGGAGCAAAGUGUGUACCCACGUGAGGCCUUUGGAGAUGAUGCCGUCAGUGAGAGGAAUCUGCCCUGGCAUUCCAGGGGUGGCUCUGCAGGGACUUUUCAGUCUUAGCUCAGCUUUCCAACAGGUCCACCUUCUCCCCUAGACCCUGGGGACCCAGUCCCUUUCCCCUUCUGUAAUCCUCAAACCACCCACGCCAUCACUUGGGGUCUCCUGUCCUGAGACUAGAUAUGAGGAGGCCCCAUUUUCCCAACUCAACCCUGAUGGUGGGUU
rnacentral:lncRNA from 1 species